rfam:Trichophyton rubrum CBS 118892 mitochondrial scaffold supercont2.36, whole genome shotgun sequence.
AACAUGUUAGUUUAAGGGUUAGAAUACCGUGUUACGGCCACGAUGAUAUAAGUUCAAAUCUUAUACAUGUUG